rnacentral:misc_RNA from 1 species
GGACAAUGAUUAUUUGGGUUGUAAUUAUGUAGUUUCUACUCUGUAGAUGCUUUUCUCCAACGGAUGGCAAAUUAAUUUCCUAGUGCUGAGCAAAUGGAACAAUUUGGUUUUUUUGAGAGGAUGUGAUAUAGGGGAUAGGAAUUAAAUCUGGUUUCAAUCUUGAGUUCUGAAACCUCAAGUAAUGCUGCCUGAGUCAUGAAAGUAGACCACUAUGAUAUCUGGAUGAAUAAGAUAGAAGACCUGUGAUUUGGGAUCAAUUUCUUUAGAGGAAUAUAUUUUUUCAGAAAACAUUUUGUACCCUUCUCAUGUUAAGC